GGGGAUAUAGCUCAGCGGCGCAGCGCCUGCCUGGCAAGCACGAGGCCCUGGGUUCGAUUCCCAGUACCA
rfam:Fukomys damarensis contig153583, whole genome shotgun sequence.